GACGAACGCUGGCGGCGUGCUUAACACAUGCAAGUCGAACGGAAAGGCCCUGCUUUUGUGGGGUGCUCGAGUGGCGAACGGGUGAGUAACACGUGAGUAACCUGCCCUUGACUUUGGGAUAACUUCAGGAAACUGGGGCUAAUACCGGAUAGGAGCUCCUGCUGCAUGGUGGGGGUUGGAAAGUUUCGGCGGUUGGGGAUGGACUCGCGGCUUAUCAGCUUGUUGGUGGGGUAGUGGCUUACCAAGGCUUUGACGGGUAGCCGGCCUGAGAGGGUGACCGGCCACAUUGGGACUGGGAUGCGGCCCAGACUCCUACGGGAGGCAGCAGUGGGGAAUAUUGCACAAGGGGCGGAAGCCUGAUGCAGCAACGCCGCGUGCGGGAUGACGGCCUUCGGGUUGUAAACCGCUUUCGCCUGUGACGAAGCGUGAGUGACGGUAAUGGGUAAAGAAGCACCGGCUAACUACGUG
rnacentral:rRNA from 1 species